GUGCUCAUUCGGCAGCACAUACACUAAAAUGGAAUGAUACAGAGAAGAUUAGCAUGGCCCCUGCGCAAGGAUGGCACGCAAAUUCAUCAAGCGAUCCAUAUUUAA